rnacentral:rRNA from 1 species
CCUACGGGAGGCAGCAGUAGGGAAUCUUUCACAAUGGGCGAAAGCCUGAUGGAGCAACGCCGCGUGCAGGAUGAAGGCCUUCGGGUUGUAAACUGCUUUUAUAAGCGAGAAAUAUGAUGGUAACUUAUGAAUAAGGAUCGGCUAACUACGUGCCAGCAGCCGCGGUCAUACGUAGGAUGCGAGCAUUAUCCGGAGUGACUGGGUGUAAAGAGUUGCGUAGGUGGCAUAAUAAGUAGCUAGUGAAAUCUGGUGGCUCAACCAUUCAGACUAUUAGCUAAACUGUUAAGCUCGAGACCGUUAGGGGUAACUGGAAUUUCUAGUGUAGGAGUGAAAUCCGUAGAUAUUAGAAGGAACACCGAUAGCGUAGGCAGGUUGCUGGGACGGUUCUGACACUAAGGCACGAAAGCGUAGGGAGCAAACGGGAUUAGAUACCCUUGUAGUC